UCUGGUGGCGAUAGCGAAGAGGUCACACCCGUUCCCAUACCGAACACGGAAGUUAAGCUCUUUAGCGCCAAUGGUAGUUGGGACUUUGUCCCUGUGAGAGUAGGACGUUGCCAGGC
rfam:Bacillus megaterium QM B1551, complete genome.